CCAGCAGCCGCGGUAAUUCCNGCUCCAAUAGCGUAUAUUUAAGUUGUUGCAGUUAAAAAGCUCGUAGUUGGAUUUCGGAUGGGAACGACCGGUCCGCCAUUCAGGUGUGCACUGGUCGUCCCUAUCUUUCUGUCGGGGACGCGCUCCUGGCCUUAAUUGGCUGGGACGUGGAUUCGGCGAUGUUACUUUGAAAAAAUUAGAGUGUUCAAAGCAGGCCUAAGCUCUGAAUACAUUAGCAUGGAAUAACGCCAUAGGACUCUGGUCCUAUUGUGUUGGUCUUCGGGACCGGAGUAAUGAUUAAGAGGGACAGUUGGGGGCAUUCGUAUUUCAUUGUCAGAGGUGAAAUUCUUGGAUUUAUGAAAGACGAACUUCUGCGAAAGCAUUUGCCAAGGAUGUUUUCAUUAAUCAAGAACGAAAGU
rnacentral:rRNA from 1 species